UAUGCUUUCAUUACACAGAAUGAUGGUGGUAAUGGGAAGUCGGCCUUGGAUAAGUAUCUAGACGAACCGGUUGUAGAUAACAUAAUGGCGUUUGAGACCUGGAAUGUUCUCUCCUAUUGGAGAGACAAUGCUAAUCGAUUGAAGGAGCUAGCAUCAAUGGCCUGUGACGUUUUAAGUAUACCCAUUACCACGGUUGCUUCAGAAUCAUCCUUCAGCAUUGGAAGCCGUGUAUUGAACAAGUACAGAAGCAGCCUUCUCCCGUCGAAUGUUCGAGCACUGAUUUGUGCUAGGAAUUGGCUAAGGGGAUUUGAAUCUUUAGACUGUGAUGAAGUGGAGGAACUUGGAGAAGAAGUCAAGGAGAAACUUGACUGAGUUCAUGUGUGAUAAACUGGCCUUGGAAUAAGAUGGAAGAGAAGAUAAUGCAGAGCUACACUUAUGCUUUUUAUAUGAACCUAUGUAUGCACUUAUUACAUUUAUGGAGUUUGAACUUAUGCUUUUGGAUUUAUGGAAUUUAUGCUUUUUAUAUGAACGAAUAAACCUAUGUAUGCAGUAUAUGCACUUAUUAUUACAUGUAAUGGAGUCUGAAUUUGUGAAUUAUGAAUUUAUGUUUUUUCAUAUAUGGUCUAUUAUGGACAGUGGUAGUCCAUGAAAAUAUGGUCCUUAAUGGACAUGGACUUAAAUGGAUAUGGUCCUUAAUGGACAUGGUCAGUCUAUGUCCACCAACAUUAAAUGGACAUAUGGAAAUGGGUAUAUGGACAUGGACUAGCCCACUUUACAGC